GACGAACGCUGGCGGCGUGCCUAACACAUGCAAGUCGAACGAAGAAUGUUUUUCGGAAUAUUCUUAGUGGCGGACGGGUGAGUAACGCGUGAACAAUCUGCCCCGUACAAAGGGAUAGCCUCGGGAAACCGGGAUUAAAACCAUAUAACGCUUUAGUACCGCAUGGUAAUAAAGUCAAAUCGAUUAAGAGGUAUGGGAUGAGUUCGCGUCUGAUUAGCUAGUUGGUGAGGUAAGGGCUCACCAAGGCGACGAUCAGUAGCCGGCCUGAGAGGGUGAACGGCCACACUGGAACUGAGACACGGUCCAGACUCCUACGGGAGGCAGCAGUGGGGAAUAUUGCACAAUGGAGGGAACUCUGAUGCAGCGACGCCGCGUGAGUGAAGAAGGUCUUCGGAUCGUAAAACUCUGUCCUUGGUGAAGAAAAGGACGGUAGCCAAGGAGGAAGCCCCGGCUAACUACGUG
rnacentral:rRNA from 1 species